rnacentral:rRNA from 1 species
UCUACGGGAGGCAGCAGUGGGGAAUAUUGGACAACGGGCGCAAGCCUGAUCCAGCCAUGCCGCGUGAGUGAUGAAGGCCUUAGGGUUGUAAAGCUCUUUUAUCCGGGACGAUAAUGACGGUACCGGAGGAAUAAGCCCCGGCUAACUUCGUGCCAGCAGCCGCGGUAAUACGAAGGGGGCUAGCGUUGCUCGGAAUCACUGGGCGUAAAGGGCGCGUAGGCGGCGUUUUAAGUCGGGGGUGAAAGCCUGUGGCUCAACCACAGAAUGGCCUUCGAUACUGGGACGCUUGAGUAUGGUAGAGGUUGGUGGAACUGCGAGUGUAGGGGUGAAAUUCGUAGAUAUUCGCAAGAACACCGGUGGCGAAGGCGGCCAACUGGACCAUCACCGACGCUGAGGCGCGAAAGCGUGGGGAGCAAACAGGAUUAGAUACCCUAGUAGUCCACGCCGUAAACGAUGAAUGCCAGCUGUUGGGGUGCUUGUACCGCAGUAGCGCAGCUAACGCUUUGAGCAUUCCGCCUGGGGAGUACGGUCGCAAGAUUAAAACUCAAAGGAAUUGACGGA